AGAAUGUGGACCUAAAGAUAGAAGUUUAACUCUUC
rnacentral:tRNA from 1 species